rnacentral:misc_RNA from 1 species
AUCUACUUCCAAACUUCAAGC